GGAGUUUUUAAUUAUAAAAUUUAUAUGAUUAUUUAAAAAAAAAUAAAAUUAUUAAUUAAUGGUAAUUUAUCUGUAUAAAUUUAUUUUUUUAUAUAAUUCAUGGAUUUAAUUUAUUUUAUAGAAAAUAAAUUUUUUUUAAUUUUAAAAAAAUUUAGAGUAAGUUUGUUUAUUAUUGACUAAUAAUGUGCCAGCAGUAGCGGUUAAACAUUUAAUAAUAUAGAUAUAUAAAAUUUAAAAAUAAAGUAAUACUAAAUUUUUAAUAGUUUGUAUAAACAAAGGUGAAAUUUUGUUAUAUAAGUUUUAAAUAAUAUUGAGUUUUUUUAAAAAAAAAAUAACUAGGAUUAGAUACCCUAUUAUAAAUUUAGAAAAUUUAGUAGUAAGUGAAAAACAUGAAACUAAAAUUAAUUGGCGGCUUUUUAAAUAUCUUAGAGAAAUUUAUUCUUUAAAGGAGUCAACCCCAAAAUCUUACUUUUUUUUGUAUAAUUUAAUACAUUACAUUUCAUAUACCUCUAUCUUUUGAUUACUAGUUUAAUUAUAAAUUUAGCUUUUUUUAGAUAAAUUUUAGGGAAAGGUGUGGAUAAUAAAAAAGGAUGAAAUAAGUUUCAUUAAUUAGUAUUUAAUGAUUUAUUUUUGUAAUAAAGUUUAAAAAUAGAAUUUAAAAGUAAUAUUAGUAUAUUUUGCUAAUUUGAAUUAGUUUUUAGAAGUGUACAUAUUGCCCGUCACUCUCUUAUUAGAGAUAAGUCGUAACAAAGUAAAAUCACUGGAAAGUGUUUUUAAAUAAUU
rnacentral:rRNA from 1 species